AUCUUUCUUUUCGAACUUAUAGGUUAAGAAAUUCUUUAAUUUCAUAUAUUUAUUUUAUUUUCUUCAUUGUUUCCCUCCGAUCUAAACAUAAUGAGUUCACGAAAUUCAGUAAAUGAUUAGAAAAAUGAGAACAAUAUAUUAUUUUCCUAUUUGUUAGUAUUGAAUUUAAUAAAUGAAAUAAUUUAAAAAUAUGGAUUAUGUUAUAUUACAAAUAUAAAAUAAUGUUAAUCCAUGCCAUCUCUCUCUCUUUCUGCUCUAGAGAUGGCUUAUGCUUGUACCUUUGCUUCUCUUGUAACCCAUCUUCUUCUGCAACCUAUGAUUGCAAGGAGUGACUUUCUAUCUCCACUUCUCUCUCCUGUUUUUAGUUUAUUCUACUUCUUCAAUUCCUUAACAGCUAGCACUUUGUUUUAUGAAUGUGAAAGUGAUCCUGGAUGGAAGUAGACUCGCUCGGACCAUGAUGAUCAUCUCAAAUUUCAUCCAUUCAUGGUACCCAACUUGAUUUUGUCCAUAAAAUCACCAAUUCUUGUCAUCGAUUGAAGAUACGAUUGUGGAGGUGAUUCCUGGAACAAGACAUCUACAUUCACUUGCACUUGCGAAUGUAGAGAGGGUUAUUGUAACAUUCUCAAUAUCACUGCCUUUCCUUGCUUGAAAGAAUCUAAUUCAAACCUUCACCAAAGUUUCCCUUGGUUGAUGGUAUUGAUUAUGUCUCUGGCUAUGAUUCAGUGGAAACAGAAUUCAUAUACAUAGUCUCCUACGAUCAUCUUGUUUUGAUAAAUUGUUUGAUGCCUGACUUAGUUCAAUAAUUGCGUUUCUUAGGCUGUAAAAAUCUCUAAUAGAGUUAGAACACAAAGAGAGGCCAUAUGGAACUCAAACUUCUUGGGCCCCUAAAUAUGCAAGCCCAGGAUCUACACAAGCAGAUAUUAUCCAAAGUGGCCUGGUUUUUAUUUUA